UUCACUUCCUCUUGGGAAGACGGACGACUUUUGUGUGCCGCACUUAACUUUUAUUACCCAACACUUUUACCGCUCUCGCUAAUAAGCGGUUUCGAUCAGAGCAAAUUGACACUUCAACAAAAAAGACAAAACUUCAUUGUUUUUUCAGAAAAGGCGAGUGAAGUUGAUAUUAUUGCGCCUAUUGGCUUUAAAAGCGGUAAUGAGUUACAAAUUAUGUCUUACAUGUCUUAUCUUUGCGGCCGAUUGUCCUAUUUGGGUCCCUUUAUACGAGCCGCCAGUGCUAUCCAAAAAUGCUUCCGUUCCGGUUUGCUCCGCAGUGAAACAUUUUUUCUAAACAAGAAAGUUAUUUAUUCUUUACUAGUUAUUA